rnacentral:lncRNA from 1 species
UAUCGUCUCCCUCAAGGCAAGUAAAAUCUGAGAGAUGGAGAUAGAAAAUCCAGGAAUGGCUACUGAAUUAAGAAGGAGCAAGAAAGGACAAAACAAGUGUUUUUAGGAAGGUGGCAACACCUCCGGUUGGUCUAAAGGAUCUAUGGGGAAGCAGCUGCAGACCCAGUUCACUGCUCCAGGGUCCUGCCACAGCCAUAAGUCUAGAAAUGACCCAGAUCCUCAAACAGAGUUUUCCUGUGUCCCAGGAAGAGUUGCCCACUGGCCAGUUUCCUCACCUUCAGCUCAUCAGGCAAAGCGGGGAAGAAGGCAGGCUGGAGUGCCUGGAAAGGACAGAGAGGAGGCAUCCAGGUGGAGGGAGAAGAGAUCCUUACAGGACCAACUAGAGAGACAGGACAUCAUCAGGCACCAUCUUGACAUCUCUGCUGGCCUCGGCAGAUGCCGACGCUGUGCUCUUGGUCUCCUCAGCCUCCAGAGCCGUGAGCCAAAUAAACUUCUAUUCUUUAUAAGUUACCCCAUCUGUGGUAUUCUGUUAUAGCAGCAGAAAAUGGACUCAGACAGAUGGUAAGGCAGACUUUAUUCAGGAUGAUCAUGGUAGGUACAAGGACUACUUCGAUGAGGUUUUGCAGUCGGAGAGAGAGAUUGGGCUUCCUGCCCCGCCACUUUCGGAGCUGAAUAAAACACCACCAUGUAAGGUGUGGGAUCUGGCUGCCUGAGACGAGGGACUGAAUUACAUAAUCUGGAAGUAUGGGGGAGUAGCUCCCUUUGGGAGGAAACUUGACAAAUGAGAGAGGAGAGACAGGAGGGAGCCUGACAGAUUCCUCUCCUUUCUCCCUCCUGUGCACUAUUCUGGGAGAUGAGGUGUGCUUCUCCUUGCAGUUAUUCUGAAGAAGUCCCUCGUACCAAGUAAAGAUAUCUGCUAAGCCCCUAGCUGUCCUCCUGGCUAGUAUGGCCCAGAGUGAAAGCGCCUCCUGUGGAAUCACUUCUCACCUUGACCUUCCUCACUUCCCUUUGACCUUUACCACCUGUCUCCUUGCCCAGUCCCUGCUUUUCUAGAGGACAAUGGCCAAGACACCUG